AGGUCUGACCUGCCCACUGAAAUUAUUUUAAAUGGCCGCAGUAAUUUGACUGUGCAAAGGUAGCAUAAUCAUUAGUUUUUUAAUUAAAAGCUUGUAUGAAGGGUUGGACGAGAUAAAAUCUGUCUCUAUUUAAUUUAAUAUAAAAUUUAAUUUUUAAGUUAAAAAGCUUAAAUUUUUUUAAAAGACGAGAAGACCCUAUAGAUCUUUAUAGUUUUGAUUUUGAAUUUAAUUAAUAAAUUUUUAUGAUUUAUAAUUUAAACUAUUUUAUUGGGGUAAUAGAAAGAUUAAAAUAAUUCUUUUUUUCUUUAAACAUUUAUUUAUGUUUUUAAUGAUCCAAUUUUAUUGAUUAUAAGAUUAAGUUACCUUAGGGAUAACAGCGUAAUUUUUUUAGAGAGUUCUUAUCGAUAAAAAAGUUUGCGACCUCGAUGUUGGAUUAAAGAUUAGUUUAGGUGUAGAAGUUUAAAUUUUUGGUCUGUUCGACCAUUAAAUCUUUACAUGAUCUGAGUUCAGACCGGCGUAAGCCAGGUCGGUUUCUAUCUUUAAUAAUUUUAAAAUAUUUUAGUACGAAAGGACCAAAUAUUUAAUAUAUUUAUAUUUAAUUUUUUGAAUAUUAUU
rnacentral:rRNA from 1 species